CCUACGGGUGGCAGCAGUGAGGAAUAUUGGUCAAUGGGCGCGAGCCUGAUCCAGCAAAGCAGCGUGAAGGAUGACUGCCCUACGGGUUGUAAACUUCUUUUAUAAAGGAAUAAAGUGAGGCACGUGUGCCUUUUUGUAUGUACUUUAUGAAUAAGGAUCGGCUAACUCCGUGCCAGCAGCCGCGGUAAUACGGAGGAUACGAGCGUUAUCCGGAUUUAUUGGGUUUAAGGUGACGGUAGAUGGGUUGUUAAGUCAGUUGUGAAAGUUUGCGGCUCAACCGUAAAAGUGCAAUUGAUACUGGCAGCCUUGAGUACAGUUGAGGUAGGCGGAAUUCGUGGUGUAGCGGUGAAAUGCUUAGAUAUCACGAAGAACACCGAUUGCGAAGGCAGCUUACUAAACUGCCACUGACAUUGAUGCUCGAAAGUGUGGGUAUCAAACAGGAUUAGAUACCCCAGUAGUC
rnacentral:rRNA from 1 species